CAGCAUGCCAACUGUUGUACCUUCAGAGAUAGAAGAUGUUUGUUAUGCUUAAUGAUAUAUACGAAUAACAAUUCCAGUUGCCAGAAGUAUUAUUUGGCAGUAAAAGUAGUAUGUUGCAUUAAAAUAUUGUCUAACUGUAGCUGUAGACCUAGCUGCCACCACUCUCCAUACUAUAGUAUGAUAUUUAUUCAUCCAAAGGCUGGAAAAGUCACAUAUGUCAGGUAAGUAUACCCUUGGUAUUUUAUGAAAGUGUACUUGUCAUGCAGAAAUUACAUAGUAUCACUUCCCUUGUAUAGUGUGCUGGAAACCAAAUAGUUGGCAGAUGUGCAGAUGAGAUAUUAGUAUACAUCACUUAU